GUAAGGAAUAUUGGACAAUGGCCGCAAGGCUGAUCCAGCCAUGCCGCGUGCAGGAAGACGGCCCUAUGGGUUGUAAACUGCUUUUACACCGGAGAAAACCCCCUUUCGUGAAAGGGGCUGAUAGUAUGGUGAGAAUAAGCAUCGGCUAACUUCGUGCCAGCAGCCGCGGUAAGACGAAGGAUGCAAGCGUUAUCCGGAUUCAUUGGGUUUAAAGGGAGCGUAGGUGGUCUUAUAAGUCAGUGGUGAAAUCUCGCAGCUUAACUGCGAAACUGCCAUUGAUACUGUAGGACUUGAGUACAGUUGCUGUGGGCGGAAUAUGACAUGUAGUGGUGAAAUACUUAGAGAUGUCAUAGAACACCGAUUGCGAAGGCAGCUCACAAAACUGUAACUGACACUGAGGCUCGAAAGUGCGGGGAUCAAACAGGAUUAGAAACCCUUGUAGUCC
rnacentral:rRNA from 1 species